UGCAGAGGGGAAGGUGCCCGGUGAGGUCUCAUAAGCCUUACUUCAUGAGUUCAAAUCUCAUCUCUGCAAC
rnacentral:tRNA from 1 species